rnacentral:rRNA from 1 species
UGCCAGCCGCCGCGGUAAUACGUAGGGUGCGAGCGUUGUUCGGAAUUACUGGGCGUAAAGGGUAUGUAGGCGGAAUGGUUAGCUAGAGGUGAAAGCCCGGAGCUCAACUCCGGAAUAGCUUUUAGAACUGCCAAUCUAGAGAGGGUCAGAGGUCAGCGGAAUUCCUGGUGUAGAGGUGAAAUUCGUAGAUAUCAGGAGGAACACCGGCGGCGAAGGCGGCUGGCUGGGGCCACUCUGACGCUGAGGCACGAAAGCGUGGGGAGCAAACGGGAUUAGAUA